UACGAAGGGUGCAAACGUUGCUCGGAAUUAUUGGGCGUAAAGCGCACGUAGGCGGCUUAGCAAGUCGGAAGUGAAAGCCCUCGGCUCAACCAAGGAAGUGCUUUCGAAACUGCUGAGCUUGAGUAGUUAAGAGGAUCGCGGAAUUCCCGGUGUAGAGGUGAAAUUCGUAGAUAUCGGGAGGAACACCAGUGGCGAAGGCGGCGAUCUGGGUCGAUACUGACGCUGAGGUGCGAAAGCGUGGGGAGCAAACAGG
rnacentral:rRNA from 1 species